rnacentral:rRNA from 1 species
UCCUACGGGAGGCAGCAGUGGGGAAUUUUGGACAAUGGGCGAAAGCCUGAUCCAGCAAUGCCGCGUGUGUGAAGAAGGCCUUCGGGUUGUAAAGCACUUUUGUCCGGAAAGAAAUCCUUGGCUCUAAUACAGUCGGGGGAUGACGGUACCGGAAGAAUAAGCACCGGCUAACUACGUGCCAGCAGCCGCGGUAAUACGUAGGGUGCGAGCGUUAAUCGGAAUUACUGGGCGUAAAGCGUGCGCAGGCGGUUUGCUAAGACCGAUGUGAAAUCCCCGGGCUCAACCUGGGAACUGCAUUGGUGACUGGCAGGCUAGAGUAUGGCGGAGGGGGGUAGAAUUCCACGUGUAGCAGUGAAAUGCGUAGAGAUGUGGAGGAAUACCGAUGGCGAAGGCAGCCCCCUGGGCCAAUACUGACGCUCAUGCACGAAAGCGUGGGGAGCAAACAGGAUAGAUACCCUGGUAGUCCACGCCCUAAACGAUGUCAACUAGUUGUUGGGGAUUCAUUUCCUUAGUAACGUAGCUAACGCGUGAAGUUGACCGCCUGGGGAGUACGGUCGCAAGAUUAAAACUCAAAGGAAUUGACGGGGACCCGCACAAGCGGUGGAGCAUGUGGUUUAAUUCGACGCAACGCGAGGAACCUUACCAGCGUUUGACAUCUUAGGAAAGAGACAGAGAUGUUUCAGUGUCCCUUCGGGGAAACCUAAAGACAGGUGGUGCAUGGCUGUCGUCAGCUCGUGUCGUGAGAUGUUGGGUUAAGUCCCGCAACGAGUGCAACCCCUUUCGUAUGUUACCAUCAUUAAGUUGGGGACUCAUGCGAUACUGCCUGCGAUGAGCAGGAGGAAGGUGGGGAUGACGUCAAGUCAUCAUGCCCCUUAUACGCUGGGCUACACACGUGCUACAAUGGGUAGAACAGAGAGUUGCAAAGCCGUGAGGUGGAGCUAAUCUCAGAAAACUAUUCUUAGUUCGGAUUGUACUCUGCAACUCGAGUACAUGAAGUUGGAAUCGCUAGUAAUCGCGAAUCUGCAAUGUCGCGGUGAAUACGUUCUCGGGCCUUGUACACACCGC